rnacentral:rRNA from 1 species
GGAAUAUUGGACAAUGGGCGCAAGCCUGAUCCAGCCACGCCGCGUGAGUGAUGAAGGCCUUCGGGUCGUAAAGCUCUGUGGGGAGGGACGAACCGCCGUUGGUGCAUAGCCAACGGCAUGACGGUACCUCCUUAGCAAGCACCGGCUAACUCUGUGCCAGCAGCCGCGGUAAUACAGAGGGUGCGAGCGUUAAUCGGAAUUACUGGGCGUAAAGCGCGCGUAGGCGGCUUAGCAAGUCGGAUGUGAAAUCCCCGGGCUUAACCUGGGAACUGCAUUCGAAACUGCUUUGCUUGAGUAUGGGAGAGGGAGGUGGAAUUUCCGGUGUAGCGGUGAAAUGCGUAGAUAUCGGAAGGAACAUCAGUGGCGAAAGCGACCUCCUGGACCAAUACUGACGCUCAUGUGCGAAAGCGUGGGGAGCAAAC